UUACAGAGCCCCACAGGCAGCCCCGUGCAGGCCCUGCCAGUGAGUCCAGGGUUUUAUUUCAAGCCGUCCUUCCCCGUCAAGCUCAUCGCCUGCGUUUGGCCACACACUCGCAGCUCUCCGAGCACAGCUGGUUUUUUCCUCUUUGUUUACUCUUUCAACAAAAGCUGGAUUCUAGACCAAGCUGUUAAGUCCUGGAGAUGCAGAAAGGAACAAGACAAACACAGGCUCAGCCCUCCAAAGCUUUCAGAAACAAGACCGACCACAAAGUGACUGAGCCAGUUAACCCAGGCAAGAGAUGAGGAAACUGAGGCACAGAAGCAUGAAGUGACUUUCCCAAGGUCACGCACAUGGAAAGUGGUGAGGUCAGCAAUCCACUCACCGUGAGGAGAAAGCCGUGAGGAGAAAGAGAGAGCCAGGCCAAGACCUGGCAGAGAGCAUUACCAGGCAGGGGGAACUGACUAUGCAAAGGCCCUGAGCGGCACAUAUAAGCAUGCACAAGGGUCUGGACACCAGGAAGUGCCCAAGACACUCACGGCAAUGAGAGAAGUUGGCAGGCCCCCCAUCAGUCAUUCAUUCAUGCACGAGCGUUGGCGAAGCUCCUAGCAGGUGUCUGUCCCUGGGAAUGUGAAGCCAGUCUCUCUUCUCAGGAAGCUGACAGCCCACUGGGGAGACAGGUGCGGGAGCCCCAGCGCUGCGAUGGUGGAGGCAGCACAGCAAGGUCGCCACCAAGAUGGAAGCCCCCAGAUGGCUGAGUCUAUGCGGCGACACUGCCCUCGAGGGCCCCCUGGACCUUCAGCAGACCUCACAUAAG
rnacentral:lncRNA from 1 species